GGCCCCAUCGUCUAGUGGUUAGGACAACGGGUUUUCAUCCCGUAAACCAGGGUCCGACUCCCUGUGGGGUCA
rnacentral:tRNA from 1 species